GACGAACGCUGGCGGCGUGCUUAACACAUGCAAGUCGAACGGAAAGGCCUGCAGCUUGCUGCGGGUACUCGAGUGGCGAACGGGUGAGUAACACGUGGGUGAUCUGCCUUGCACUUCGGGAUAAGCUUGGGAAACUGGGUCUAAUACCGGAUAGGACAGCUGUUUAGUGUCAGUUGUGGAAAGUUUUUUCGGUGCAAGAUGAGCUCGCGGCCUAUCAGCUUGUUGGUGGGGUAAUGGCCUACCAAGGCGUCGACGGGUAGCCGGCCUGAGAGGGUGUACGGCCACAUUGGGACUGAGAUACGGCCCAGACUCCUACGGGAGGCAGCAGUGAGGAAUAUUGCACAAUGGGCGGAAGCCUGAUGCAGCGACGCCGCGUGGGGGAUGAAGGCCUUCGGGUUGUAAACUCCUUUCGACAGGGACGAAGCGUAAGUGACGGUACCUGUAUAAGAAGCACCGGCUAACAACGUGCCAGCAGCCGCGGUAAUACGCAGGGUGCGAGCGUUGUCCGGAAUUACUGGGCGUAAAGAGCUCGUAGGUGGUUUGUCGCGUCGUCUGUGAAAUUCCGGGGCUUAACUCCGGGCGUGCAGGCGAUACGGGCUGACUUGAGUGCUGUAGGGGAGACUGGAAUUCCUGGUGUAGCGGUGAAAUGCGCAGAUAUCAGGAGGAACACCGAUGGCGAAGGCAGGUCUCUGGGCAGUAACUGACGCUGAGGAGCGAAAGCAUGGGUAGCGAACAGGAUUAGAUACCCUGGUAGUCCAUGCCGUAAACGGUGGGCGCUAGGUGUAGGGGGCUUCCACGUCUUCUGUGCCGUAGCUAACGCAUUAAGCGCCCCGCCUGGGGAGUACGGCCCGCAGGCUA
rnacentral:rRNA from 1 species